rnacentral:rRNA from 1 species
GUCGUAACAAGGUUUCCGUAGGUGAACCUGCGGAAGGAUCAUUCGUGUGAUCGUAUAGCGAUCGUGAUGGUUGGUCGAUGCACUGGUGGUAUGUCAGUGCUUAGUUGGCUGUGGCACUUCAGUGCACAACAGCCGUGAAAUCAUUAUUCUUGUCCUAGUUGCAGCAUAUGUCCUAGCAACACAUAGUGAAGGAAUACUUUCAGCAACAGAUGUCUUGGUUCGCAUGUUGAUGAAGGGUGCAGCGAAGUGCAAUAAUCAUUGUGAAUUGCAGAAUUCCGUGAAUCAAUUGACCAUUGAACGCAGAUGUGCCCUUGGGGCAUUCCUGAGGGCAUGCUUGUGUCAGUGUUUCUAUGUUAGAUUAUUGAUUGUUUUUGAUGGAAACAUGUUGAUUGUGCAGCAAUCCUCCAUGAUUGUUGCAUCAAACACUGUGACCGCAACGCGUAUGGGACUUGCUUCUUGCGUUGCUGUGCACGAUCCUGUGUGUGAAAGCACAUGAACAUGACAUCAAGCAAAGCAACCUGCUGAAUUUAAGCAUAUAAGUAAGUGGAGGAUUUGAAACCAAAUGGGAAUUCUUAAGUAAUGGCGAACGAACAGGAAUAAGCCUAGCGUGGAAAUUGAGGUUUAUAACCUUGAAUUGUUUUCUUCAGACGUUUUCCCAGCAAAGGUGCACAUGUAGAUGUUUUGGAAAAGGAUUUCGAGGAAGGUGACAUGCCUGUCUGAGUUGUGUGGUCCUUUGUAUACGGGUUGCGCUUCAUGAGUCACGUUCCUUGGAAUUGGAACGCAAAGUUGGUGGUAAUUUUCACCCAAGGCUAAUUAUAAGUGUGAGACCGAUAGCAAACAAGUACCAUGAGGGAAACAUGAAAAGGACUUUGAAAAGAGGGUUAAAAGUGCUUGAAAUUGCUGAACUGGAAGCGAAUGAUGUUUGAAUGCCCAUGACAGAUUGCUGCCUUUGCGUGCUGCUCUGUGGGUCGUCGCCAUGGGGGCUCAUAGGUGCAGCACUGCAAGCGUAGUGUUGCUGCCGUGGCAUGUUAGUGCCCUUAUGUAUUGGAGCAUGUUGUUAGAACCAUGGAAACUCGCUGGUUGAGCGUGUGAAUGCUUCUGUAAUUGCUUAUAUGCAUUAGGUGUAAUGGUCACUUUGGGGAUGCAUCUGCUUUCUUCACUGGAGGUAGAUCCUAUCCUGGUUUGCUAGCCAUUGUUUCUAGUAAAUGGACAUCUUUCGACCCGUCUUGAAACACGGACCAAGGAGUCUAAUGCAUGUGUGAGCUUAUCGGUGGUUAAGCUUUGUUGCGUAUUGAAGGAAAUGGUUGGUAUGUUUGCUCCAGCUACUAACCAAGCGAUUGUGUGAGGUUUGAGUGGUAGCAUGUGUGUUAGGACCCGAAAGAUGGUGAACUAUGCGUGA